GAUCUCUGUUCAGGCUGCUUCUUGCUCUUGUCUCAGAAUAAGAAAGGAGUGCUGCUUUCCUGGGGUAUGCUAUUUGAGAAAGAAAGUAACCUAACACUAACUGCAGGCGGGGUCAGAGUGAUGUAACAGGAAGCUCUGAUGUUUCCCUUCUGCUGCUGAGCACAUACAAUGUGACAACACUUCCAAUCCACUCAGAACAACCCUCCCUCUCCAGCAGAGAGUAUCACCUCCUGAUUUAGGAUCAUCAGGCUCUGUUCACUGGACCUGACCCUGCCUGCAGGAUUACAUUGCAAAGCUUUCACUCUUCCCCACCUUGCCUGGGGGUAAAUCUCUUCUGCGGAAUCUCAGAAAAUCAAAUUCCAUCCUAAGAAUAUUUCACCAAGAAUUUCCUUAGAAGCUGUGCUGGGGUUCUACGAUGACACAUCAACCACUUGUGAUGCCACCUGUCAAAUCUUUGGAUGGCCCUACCUUCAGAUUUUGGAAUCACAACUGAAGAUUCAAUGAUCAGUAGAGGAAACAGAAGGUGAGUUGGCAUAUGAGCCUAUCUCUGCUUCCAAAAAGAUGAGCAUGUG
rnacentral:lncRNA from 1 species